UUUUAUUUAUAUAUAUUUUUCUAUUUAACUUGUGUUUCUCUCUCAAUAUGUAUAUAUAUGUCACCUGGAAUGCAACAAAGACACCACACAGUAAAACAGAGAGCCUUUGAAGUCUUUAGUGCGGGUAAUUUAAUCAGGAAAGACAGAGGGGUUCAUAAAUAAAGACCUUUGACCUCACGGGUGUGAAGGCACACAAACACACAGUAAAAAACAAAUGAUCAGAAAGAGCCUUUGAACUCUUUAGUGCAGGAAAGACAGAGGGGUUAGUACCUUUGACCUCACGGGUGUGAAGGCACACAAACACACAGUAAAAAACAAAUGAUCAGAAAGAGCCUUUGAACUCUUUAGUGCAGGAAAGACAGAGGGGUUGUUGACCUCACAGAUGUGAAGAUAAUAAAAGCCCAGGGGGUUAGAAGGACCAUUGUUUUUUCUGAAAACAGCUAGGUUUGGUUUACGGGGUUAAGUGGAAAAUUACAGAGAAGGAACCUUGUAAGAAGUGGGGGGUGAUAACAGUAUAAUAAGGCUGUCUGUUUUCAGUGCGAUUUUAGGUCUGUUGUGUUUCAGGGUAGCUGCUGAAACAUUGUGAACAUACCUCUUUAAGGAAAAUAAACUUCUUUCCUUAAAUAUAA